rnacentral:rRNA from 1 species
ACGGGUGAGUAAUGCCUAGGAAUCUGCCUGGUAGUGGGGGAUAACGUUCGGAAACGGACGCUAAUACCGCAUACGUCCUACGGGAGAAAGCAGGGGACCUUCGGGCCUUGCGCUAUCAGAUGAGCCUAGGUCGGAUUAGCUAGUUGGUGAGGUAAUGGCUCACCAAGGCGACGAUCCGUAACUGGUCUGAGAGGAUGAUCAGUCACACUGGAACUGAGACACGGUCCAGACUCCUACGGGAGGCAGCAGUGGGGAAUAUUGGACAAUGGGCGAAAGCCUGAUCCAGCCAUGCCGCGUGUGUGAAGAAGGUCUUCGGAUUGUAAAGCACUUUAAGUUGGGAGGAAGGGCAGUUACCUAAUACGUGAUUGUUUUGACGUUACCGACAGAAUAAGCACCGGCUAACUCUGUGCCAGCAGCCGCGGUAAUACAGAGGGUGCAAGCGUUAAUCGGAAUUACUGGGCGUAAAGCGCGCGUAGGUGGUUUGUUAAGUUGGAUGUGAAAUCCCCGGGCUCAACCUGGGAACUGCAUUCAAAACUGACUGACUAGAGUGUGGUAGAGGGUGGUGGAAUUUCCUGUGUAGCGG